rnacentral:rRNA from 1 species
UACGUAGGUCCCGAGCGUUGUCCGGAUUUACUGGGCAUAAAGCGAGCGCAGGUGGUUUAUUAAGUCUGGUGUAAAAGGCAGUGGCUCAACCAUUGUAUGCAUUGGAAACUGGUAGACUUGAGUGCAGGAGAGGAGAGUGGAAUUCCAUGUGUAGCGGUGAAAUGCGUAGAUAUAUGGAGGAACACCGGUGGCGAAAGCGGCUCUCUGGCCUGUAACUGACACUGAGGCUCGAAAGCGUGGGGAGCAAACAGG